UAUCAUGUAAUUGACAUUCAAAAUCAAUAAGAAGGGUAAAAAUAUAAAUUUCUGUGUGUGUUUUGAUGUUCUUGUUUCAUGUUUUUUGAUGAGAGGAGAUUAAUUAUUGCACUCCUGGCCUUCCGUAUAGCUGAACACUUUGGGAAAAAAAGCCUUAAAUAAAUCUUCAUUUUUCUUUAAAGCAAAUGUUACAUUCUUUGGACACAAGACAACCAAACCAAGUCUAACCUUUAACUGAGAGACAUGAAGUGCCGACAAAAAAAGGGAUACCACAAAGAUAACGACAGAGAUAAACAUUUAUUUAGACCAUAUUAAAAUAUAUACAAAACUAUAGUAAAACGAUUUAAUCUAUAUUGUAUCAUUGUAUCUAUCUAUAAUCAAUAUGUCAUAUCUUUGCUGUAAUGAGUGGAUGUUGGGAUUGUUAGCGUAUGAAAGAGAGGGACAAAGUGCUAAAUGUGCUAAUUAAGAACUUAGGCUGGCAGUUUUUUCCAGAGCUGAGCUAAUGUAGCAUGGUAGAAAAUGUGGAUUGCUUGCCAACUGUCGCCCACAGAUUAGACUUGAGUUCUGCUUGGUGGUCAAUGAGUCAUAACCGAAAAUGUCCAAAACA